GAGCGAGGAAGAAGGAAGCGCUCGGGUCCGCGAGCGACUCGAGGCCCAUGGAGGCCCUAGAGACCGUCUAUCAUGGAUAUUUAACUGCAGUUCUGUGAGUAUCCCAACUUAACCAUGAAGAUGAACUGCAAACUGUAAGUCAUAAGUUUCUCAUUACUCUUGGGCACAUUGAUGUAUUUUGGCUUCCUGGUGAGUUAGCCUGUUUCCUGAUAGUUGAUCUGAGUAUUAAGGAUGUUUUAUUGGUUCAUGGGUUACUUAGGUGUUUGGUUUAUGUUGGUUUUAAUGAUUUGUUAAAAUGGUUACAGGCUCCAAGUUAUUGUUGUAAGCUGGAGUAAUGGGUUGGGUUCUGAUAUCAUCAGUCUUCUUUCCAGCUACUCUCCUGAGCUCUGCAUCUUCGUGUUGCUUUACUGAUUAGGCUGUGGUCUGAGUGAGCGGAGGUGCAUACUGGGAUACAGAGCUGUCUGAAGUCUACAGGUCUGUAGACAAGCCCCCUCAGGGGAAACCGAGUGUUUGAGAAACCGUCGUGACGUCAGUGACAUGGACUGGAAUGUUCUUUAAAAUGGACUCAGGGAUUCAGAAGGAGAAACGCCAGGGGGAGAUGAGGGGGCUCCUCAUCUCAACGACCAAAACACAGCUUCAGUCUGACACAGAGAACCAUGGAACACAUUCAACAGUCUCCUCCAGGCAUCGUGACUCCUCAGGAACAGUUUCAUUUCCAUGAAGGUCUUAUUUGGGGCCAUCCCCAGAUGGAUCCUGCUCCUCAAGAGCCACCCCCCUCCACUGGGUUGUCUUCUGAACAGAUGACCUCCUUCCUGUCAUCCGGCUGACUAAAGCUGUACUGUUUGCAUUUGUGAAGGCCCCUCAUUCAGGAAACCACUGGACUACAAAGACAUGACUUCAGAGAUGUUGAAUCAACCUCGGACACAUUUUGGAGACGCCAAGCAUAAUCCAUCACCAAUGUGGGACGCCACUGAAGAAUGUUGUACAUAAGUAAACGUCUCUGGAGACAUUGGUUGUUCUGUUCUGGGUGCCCUGGCAGGAAAGCUGGGGGGGGGAUGAUGGAAUGUUAAUUGGCAUGAGGUUUUUACCCUGCAUGAUUGUUUGGCCUUUUAUGGCACAGUGGUGUGUGUGUUUGGGUUUGACAUGAGAUGGAUGAUUUUUGAGCAUCACUAGGGUUCGCGUGCGUGCGUGCGUGUGUGUCCGGCUUGCUUUGACAGUGAUAAUGUUCAUACAAGGGUCUGUGUGAUUGGCUUGGGAUAUUGGAAUGGUCAAAUAAAUCAUACCUGAUGGACGGCCACACAUUUACUUAAGGGCCUCCAGUAGACAUGAAGAGCCCUGAGCAAUGCUCCGGAGUGAUAUCCAACACACUGGGCAGGAAGGAGAGUAUCCAAAUCAAGUGUAAAAGGGGCGUGUUCAGAUCAGUGAGUUCAAACUAGGAAUACACCAAUCAGGAUCAAUGGAGGAUGGACAUCUAAAGGCAUUCCACAAGGAGUCUGACGUUGGAAAGGGACCUAAAUGGAUAUUCAAGAUGACGUUCAGACCUGUAAUGAGACGGCUCUUCCUACCUGGCUGGAUUGAUGGAGAGCCCUGUGGAUCUUGUCUUGCUCUCAGUUGCACGUCUUCUCAGGAUGAACUAUUUGUUUCGGACAGGACUAGCUGAACGAUUGUUUCCCUUAAAUCAGAACCAAUCCGGGAACUCCAGCUAGUGCGCUCUUCGAGCUGAAGUUGUGCUCUUCGAGCUGAAGUUGUGCUCUUCAGCUGAGGUGGUAAGGAAACCUUCACUGGGGAGGAUGUUUCAAAGUGUUCCAUGGUACUCUGAUGAAGACCGUUGUUGUGUUCCACUGGCUGAGAGGAAGAACCCUUACAUCUUCUUCUUGGCCUUUCUCCUCUGAGAAUCCUGGCGCCAUCUUGAAGGAUAUUCCAGCUCAUGCAACUGAUGUCACGACAGAUUCUCAAACACUUGGUUUCUCCUGAGGAGCGUGUCUAUAGAACUGAAGACUUCAGACGGCACUGUAUCCCAGCAUGCAUCUCUGCUCACUCAGACCACACCCCCAUGAGUACAAUGCAACAUUCUAGUGAUGGAGAUGUAGAGUUUUAAGUAACGAGGGAGGAGACAAAGGUUAUUAGAACACAAUGGAAUGUCAAGUCUGUAAAUCUUUAAACCAUGAAGAUGGUUGGAUAGUUCAGGAAUUGGGCUUCUUUUUAUUAUGGGCAGUCCUUUCACUCAGAUGCCCGCUUCUCACUGGAGCUGUACAUGUGUUGGCUGGCUGGCGUGAUUUGGUGAUGAGGCGGUCAGGGUGACGUUGCAGGGCUAUGGUCGGCUCUGUGAGCUCAACGUUUAGAUUUGCUCUGUAUGGUUUGUACCCUGAAUAAUCUAGAUAAUUGUAAAAUGUAGACACUGUUUUGUAUUGAAUGAUUCCAGGAUUUAAUGUUUAAAGUUGUUGUGGGACGUACAUGGUAGUUUGGUUCUUCGUACGGUUUUGAGUGAUAUAACUUAUACACACUGGGUGCAUAAUAAUGUAAAGUACACUGAAUAGUAGUAAUGACCGACAGCAACAAACAGAUCUCCUCAAGGUAAGUCUGUUGGCUGUGUUUUAAUGAAGACCAUCGCUGGACUUCAGGAUCUUCCUCCGUUCAGCUCAAGGUGAGGCGCUGGUUCUGUUUUUUCUUUGGUUGGUUCCGGCCGGAAUGUUCGGAUUCCAGUCGGACGGUUUGUGCUUCCCGCCGUGGAAGGUUCUGAUUGCGGUCAAUCGAUUUAGUUCCAAUGGUUAGCAUAGAACGUUGUAGUCUUGACAACCAUAAGAAACCACCUGGCUGUUAGUUGGACGGGAGUCCCCUGAGGGAAUCUGGCGGAACGUUCUGGAUUGUAUUUGCGUAACCUCGAGUCGUUGCCAACAGAAUUUUUUUUUUCAGUCGGUCUCCCUUGACGAUUUAUCAUGGUUGCGCCGUACUUUUAACCACGAUGACGUGACGGGACUCUCACUGCGUACAAAACAGCGUUCUACUUGCGGGCCCAUUUUUGACAUCAGUGAAGGCUGAAAAUCAUUUCAAGGUGGAAGAUAAUUUGACAUUUCUUCAGAGGAACCCAGCACCUGAUUCUGGUUGAGUAUAUUUGAUUUAGUAUCGAUACUGCUUAGUGUUCUUUGUUACUUCAGCUUUUAUACUUUCUAAAUAUCUGCUGUCAUUAAUUGCCACAGAAGUUAAACCCUACCCAAUGGAAUGACGUUAAACAACGACUUUGGUGCAGAGUUACCAACUGGAUAAUAUCAAACAUAAAAUAAAGGCCAUCCUUCCCACAUGUUACAGUAGAAGAUACUCUAGAACUGUACAAGGUUAAAAAGGUAACGUGUAGUUUGUCCCAAGGUGUCUGCCUUCUCACCCAGAGCAAGACCUCCACCUCCUCACCCAGAGCCAGACCUCCACCUCCUCACCCAGAGCCAGACCUCCACCUCCUCACCCAGAGCCAGACCUCCACCUCCUCACCCAGAGCCAGACCUCCACCUCCUCACCCAGAGCCAGACCUCCACCUCCUCACCCAGAGCCAGACCUUCACCUCCUCACCCGGAGCCAGACCUCCACCUCCUGUCAGAAGUCUUCCAGAACAGACAAGGAACCCAUGGCUGAUGGAGGAGUUGUGCUGAAGGCCCUGCCUGGUGGAGGAGCUGGUGGAGGCCCUGCCUGGUGAAGGACGUCUGUCGUGGGACAGGACUCUGUCUGAGGAGAGCUGCUGGAGGAGCUGAGACGCUGGAGGACGACUAGGAAUCGACCAACAAGGAUUCCUCAACGUGUUUCUGGAGCGGAGGCGAGCUGGUAGGGGAGCCAUGAAUCUGGAGGAUGACCAUCACUCUAUCAACAAGGAUUACUUUAGGGCCAGACUUGCGCUGUUUGUUCCAGACCAGGACUCUGGCUGAUGGAGGAGCCAAGACUCUGGAGGACGACAUCACUCUACCAACCAAGAUCCUCACCAGGAAUCGGGAAGACUGAUGGAGAAGCCGUACAUCUGGAAGGCAAAUCCAGAGGACAACCAGGACUCUACCAUCAAGGCAGACACACCUGAGCUGAACCUCACCUGAUCUUGUUUGGUCGGGGGUAGACACACCUGAGCUAAACCCGCCCUGAUCCUGACAUCCUGCUGGUCCCGUCUCCUCAGUUCAUCUGCGCCUCGUCCUCCAGAAGACCUGCUGAGCUCAGCAGUCUGAGGCUGAUGGAUCAAUGACCUCCAGUGGGAGUGAUCUUCUUGACCCCACAUGUAACCGUGUGUUUCCACACGCCUUUCCCUCAUGUUUGUCACUAACCUCACUACUUCACUACUCUCUGCUGCUUCCUCUUUUCUUCCUUCUCUGUGGUUCGAAACUUUACACGGAAGGCGCGUCUUCCUGCCCUCAGAGGGUUCAGCGUUAGGGUUGAGAGUCAGGGUUUAGAGUCAGGGACAGAGCUGGUCAGGGAGGACUGCUUUUACACAAACCUCUUCACUUCCUUUCGGAAUGGUGGUGACAUUUUGAAAAGAUUCAUUUGGGAAAAUGUUUUCCUCUGCUUUCCUUUACAAAAUUGUAUUCAAUUUCUGUCAAGUGUUUUUGUUUAGAUAUUAAAAUCCCACAUUGACUUCU